AUUUAUAGAAAUUACUAAAAUAAUGAGCGAUUUAUUUUUAAAUGUGGAAAACGGUGCAUUUGGGAGUUUUACUACGAGCACCCAAUUGUUUAUGGAGCUUGUUAAGGAGGAGUCCGAUGCAAGUGAAGCUAUCGUUGGCUCCACCGAACAAAAAUUAUGUGCUGCCGACCUAAAUUUUAAGGUGGCACUUUUAAAGUUGGAAUCAGUGCCUCCCAAAAGAUCUUUAUGGACCCUUGAACGGUUUGGCCAGUAUUUUGAGCUGGAUGUUCCGUCCAAUAGCGAGGAGUUUUUCAAAGAACAGUUUCGCAUGAGUCGAGUCGCUUUCGAUGACCUGGUUGGAAGGCUUUCGUCACUGGCCAAGACGGAUACUAAUUUUAGGCCGUGUAUCCCACUGGACAAGAGGGUAGCCAUCGCCCUGUUCAGAAUAGGGCAACACUUGCCAAUGAUACAUAUAUACAUAUGUACAUAAAUUGAUUUUGAACAGAUGUUUGCAAUGCAGAACCAAUUCCGGUCCCGGAAUGUUUAUAAUAUAAUUCUUAUUUGUUUAUUGUUACAAAUGGAAUGGUUGUUUGAAUGCAUAUGUAUGCAUGUAUAAUAUCUUUUCUAAUAUAUGUAUGUAAGGUCUCCGGUAAUUGUAAGAAGUAACUCUCCGUGUAUAUUCCUCAGUCCGGAAAUCGUCACAGUAUAUUCUAGAGCCGAGUCGAUAUAACCAUGUUAGUUUCUUUGUUUACAUACGCAUGUGUGUACAUAUGUACAUAUACAUAUGUACAAAUGUACAUUUUCAAGCAGUUUCUCAGUGUGAAGUAUUGUAUUGGCUAAUACUUUGUAUUUUCUGCAAGUUCGUUUAAUUUUCUGCGCGCUAUUUGUUUAAAUACAUUAAUACGAUUCUAAGUCGGAACGGAGUCGCAAAGUUCAGAUUACUCUAUCAUACAUCGAUUGACAUAUCAUUCUGUGCGGGUCUAGACAAAGUGAUUUGGUACGAAUCCUACAUCAUUCCGGUUCACAAAAAAGGUUUAAGAUCUCACAUUGAGCAUUACCGAGGUAUCGCAAACCUUUCAUCCAUCCCGAAGCCACAAUAUGUAUGGAGUAAUCUGAUAUCUUCAUUUUUUUUAAACAUCGAUCGACAUCGACUUAUCUUCACAAAGCUAUUUGCAAACGGACGUAACAUCUACGAAUUUUAACAAGAUAUCUGUCUAGCCGCACAUAACGUGUUUUUGUUUUUGUGCCACAGGGAAGUCAUUUAGCUCCACUUCUGUUAGACCUUAGACCUACCCGUAAUUUUCGUCCGUUUCGUUUACCCAUCCGCAGGUCAAAUUACACUCAACACAAUUCUUUUAGAAUUCUUAACUAAAAUAAUAUAUUUCAUAUUUUUCCCUAAACAAACAUCCCUUAAAUUAAUUGCCUGUAAUAUAUACA